AGCGAACGCUGGCGGCAGGCCUAACACAUGCAAGUCGAACGAACUCUUCGGAGUUGGUGGCGGACGGGUGAGUAACACGUGGGAACGUGCCUUUAGGUUCGGAAUAACUCAGGGAAACUUGUGCUAAUACCGAAUGUGCCCUUCGGGGGAAAGAUUUAUCGCCUUUAGAGCGGCCCGCGUCUGAUUAGCUAGUUGGUGAGGUAAAGGCUCACCAAGGCGACGAUCAGUAGCUGGUCUGAGAGGAUGAUCAGCCACAUUGGGACUGAGACACGGCCCAAACUCCUACGGGAGGCAGCAGUGGGGAAUCUUGCGCAAUGGGCGAAAGCCUGACGCAGCCAUGCCGCGUGAAUGAUGAAGGUCUUAGGAUUGUAAAAUUCUUUCACCGGGGACGAUAAUGACGGUACCCGGAGAAGAAGCCCCGGCUAACUUCGUG
rnacentral:rRNA from 1 species